UGUUACUCUCUGAGCGAGAAGGAAAGCGAGAGGGGAGAGAGUGAAGCUGAGCUGAGCUGAGCUGCUUCUUCCAUGGCGACGGUGCUUGAGAAAGAGAUAUCCUCCAUUAAGAAGCUCGGGCAGUGAAAUCACUUCGAAUUUUGCAGGCAAGUACUGUUGAUUGUUCACUAUGAUUGCAAUUGUGCGUAGGAAUCUCUCGUUAUUGUCGAACCCUAAUUCAUUUCUCUGCAACUCAAAUGCUCAUUCCUCUCCCUCAAUCCACUUCUUUUCCACUCGGAGGAUCAAAAGAAUAUUAAUCCCUAGCCCUGAAAUCUGCGAUGUUUUGGUCAAUAAACACCAAUUUUCUCCUGAAUUGGCCUCGCUAGCUUCGUCGCGUUUACCUAAAUUCAGAGACCCCCAAAGAGCUGAUUCAGUGCUUUCGUUCCUCAAAGAGAAUAUCUUUACGACUGCUCAGCUGCAGAAAUUAGUGAUAUAUGAUCCUCGGAUUCUAGGGUUUACAAUUGAGCGUUUCGAAUCCAGAUUCAAGGUGUUCCAAAACUUGGGGCUUUCUUCUGAGGAGAUUGCCAAGAUGAUUUCACACGGUCCUGCGAUUAUACAUUCAAGCAUGGAGAACAGGAUUAAUCCUAGAUUAUCGAUACUAAAGGGCUUGAUCGGAUCUAACGACGAUGUGGCCCGGUUUUUGAAAAGAUGCCCUUGGCUUCUUGUAACUGAUUUAGAGAGAAGCUUAAUCCCGAAUGUGGAAAUCGUGAAGAGCACCGGGAUACCAAUGGAGCGCGUCCUUCACUUAGUCUACGCUUCCCCAAGAGGUUUCUUGAUCAAACCGGAUAUCAUGAGGAAAUCUGUAGACAAGGCUAUAGAAAUCGGGGUGCCUCACAAUUCGGUUGUUUUUAUCUAUGCUGUCGGUGUAUUUAACUAUACGAGCCAAGGGAUGUGGGAGGUCAAGCUGGAAACUCUUCGCAAUUUGGGAUUUUCUGAUAAGGAUAUACUCAAAAUAUUUAGGACGCACCCUCAUGUUUUCUCGGCAUCUGGAAACAAAUUGAAGAAAAAAGUAGAGCUUCUGCUUGCUACCGGGAAGUACAGUGUAUCCAAUAUUGCCGCAUCUCCAUCUGCACUUGGGUGCAGUGUCGAGAAGAGGAUUGAACCGCGGAUGCAGAUUCUUAAACUUUUGGAGAGUAGGAAUCUGAUUGAAAAGUGGCCAUGUCUUUCAGCUGUUCUCAAACCUAGAGAUGAAGAAUUUAUGGAGAAAUUUGUUAGGCCUUAUUAUGACGAGAUUGGUGAAGAACUCAUCACACAAAGAUCUAUGUUAUGAGCCGGAAGAGAUGAAUCUAUAAGAACCGAUGCUUGAAGAACUCGUACGUAGUAGUAGAAGUAUUAAUUCUUCCUUGUGCUCAACAUAUUAUUUGAUCAAUCUUGCCAAACAUAUUCUAUUAGAAUAUGAAAAUUUUAUUUCUCAUAUAUCUCUCUAUGUUAUGUAUAGCAAUUUUUCAAAGUUAUUUCUUUUUUAAUCAAUAGAAGCCUAUCAACCUGGCUAGUUGCAAUAUACCUAUGGAGCGUAUCCUUCACUUACUCCAUUUUUGCCUGAGAUGUCUAUUGGUGAGGCCUGAUGUGUUAUGGAGAAAUCUAUAGACAAGGCCAUGAGGUUCAGGGUCUCCCGGACUUCACUUCUUUCAUCGAUGUUAUCAAUGUUUUUGCUCACACGAGCGAAGGGAUCAUGGAAGUCAAUCGGAAAGUCCUCCUUGAUUUGGGGUUUUCAACUUAUGAUAUGAUGAAAUUCCUUAGGCAGACACCGUUGCUGUUUUCUUCAUCCAUGGAGAAAACGAAGAGGGUUGUGGAACUUCUGCUUGCUACCGGGAAGUACUGUAUCACCAAUAUCGUAGCUAACCCAAUGAAACUCAUGUGCAGCAUUGAGAAGAGGCUUGUGUCGCGCUGCAAAUUAUGGGACUCCAGGAAAGUAGGAAUCUUAUUGAAAAGUGGCCCGGUCUUUCAAGAGUUUCUGCAUUUACGAAUGAUAAGUUUUUUGACACAUUUGGUAAACCUUAUUACGUUCUAGCUUAUGCUCUCUGUUGCGAACUAAUCUUGACACGAUCCUUGCUUCCUUGAUUCUUGAAGUUCUGCAAAUUACGACUACUACUUUUGUCGAUAUGGUUAUUUUACAGUGGAAAAACUUGUGUUGUGGAAGACUCCAUCAAGAUUCGAAGUGCAUAACUUCUACUGAUUCGAGUUUUGAGAUUGGCUACGUACACAUGUUCUAUAGAAUUUCUUGUAAAUAUGAUGUUUCAUUUUUUCAGAAUGUUUCUGUGACACUGUUGCUUUCUAAAUGAUGAAUGCCAUACUGUUCUGAUCUUUCUUAUACGA